rnacentral:lncRNA from 1 species
UCGUGGAUCGCCGAGGACAUCCCCGCCGGGGAAAGGACGGGGGCAGCUUCGGCUGCCAGGGCCGUAGUACCGGAGGUGGCCGGCGGCGGCGACUGGUGCGGCGACGAUGGCCGCUGCGAGGUGGCGGGGAAGGCGGUGAUGGUGGCGGCGGUGGUGGUGGGAAGGUCCGAUAAACUCAUCGAACCCAAGCUAUCUGAUACCAAAUUGGUGGAGGCUAGGGUUCUACCAGGUCUCGGACGUAGGUUGUAGGGGUGGAAGUGCGGGCUGCGAGGUUGGGGACGCCGGCGCCGGCGGUUGGGCGCCGUCGCAGCGUGAGAGAGAGAGAGAGAGGCGGCUAGGGUUUGGGGCUCCCGUCUCCUGAGGAAGACGACAACAAAAUACUGUUUAUUGUCUGCUUAAUAUCGAAGGGGUACAUGUGUUUAUAUAGGAGGACAGCCUCCACUA